UAGGGAAUCUUCCGCAAUGGGCGAAAGCCUGACGGAGCAACGCCGCGUGAGUGAUGAAGGUCUUCGGAUCGUAAAACUCUUUUUUUAGGGAAGAACAAAUGUGUAAGUAACUAUGCACGUCUUGACGGUACCUAAUCAGAAAGCCACGGCUAACUACGUGCCAGCAGCCGCGGUAAUACGUAGGUGGCAAGCGUUAUCCGGAAUUAUUGGGCGUAAAGGGCGCGUAGGCGGUUUUUUAAGUCUGAUGUGAAAGCCCACGGCUCAACCGUGGAGGGUCAUUUGAAACUGGAGAACUUGAGUGCAGAAGAGGAAAGUGGAAUUCCAUGUGUAGCGGUGAAAUGCGCAGAGAUAUGGAGGAACACCAGUGGCGAAGGCGACUUUCUGGACUGUAACUGACGCUGAUGUGCGAAAGCGUGGGGAUCAAACAGG
rnacentral:rRNA from 1 species